rnacentral:rRNA from 1 species
AACGAACGCUGGCGGCAGGCUUAACACAUGCAAGUCGAACGCCCCGCAAGGGGAGUGGCAGACGGGUGAGUAACGCGUGGGAACAUACCCUUUCCUGCGGAAUAGCUCCGGGAAACUGGAAUUAAUACCGCAGACGCCCUACGGGGGAAAGAUUUAUCGGGGAAGGGUUGGACCGCGUUGGCUUAGCUAGUUGGUGGGGUAAAGGCCGCCCAAGGCGACGAUCCAUAGCUGGUCUGAGAGGAUGAUCCGCCACAUUGGGACUGAGACACGGUCCAAACUCCUACGGGAGGCAGCAGUGGGGAAUAUUGGACUAUGGGCGCAAGCCUGAUCCAGCCAUGCCGCGUGAGUGAUGAAGGCCUUAGGGUUGUAAAGCUCUUUCACCGCUGAAGAUAAUGACGUUAGUCGGAGAAGAAGCCCCGGCUAACUUCGUG